AUCCCAGCUUUGGGUGGAUAUAUACUCAAAUGGGAACAACAGAGAAAAGAUAAGCAUGGCCCCUGCGCAAGAAUGACACGCACAAUCUUGACUCGUUCCGCAUUUUU
rfam:Anopheles merus strain MAF unplaced genomic scaffold supercont2.176, whole genome shotgun sequence.